GAUGAACGCUAGCGGCAGGCCUAAUACAUGCAAGUCGAACGGUGCCUUCGGACAUAGUGGCGCACGGGUGCGUAACACGUAUGCAACCUACCUUACAUUGGGGGAUAGCCCUUCGAAAGGGAGAUUAAUACCGCAUAAGACAGUAGCUGGGCAUCCAGCAGCUGUUAAAGAUUUAUCGAUGUAAGCUGGGCAUGCGUCCAAUUAGCUAGUUGGUGAGGUAACGGCUCACCAAGGCAAUGAUUGGUAGGGGAACUGAGAGGUCAAUCCCCCACACUGGCACUGAGAUACGGGCCAGACUCCUACGGGAGGCAGCAGUAGGGAAUAUUGGGCAAUGGACGCAAGUCUGACCCAGCCAUGCCGCGUGCAGGAUGAAGGCGUUAUGCGUUGUAAACUGCUUUUAUACAGGAAGAAACGACUCUUGCGAGAGGCAUUGACGGUACUGUAUGAAUAAGCACCGGCUAACUCCGUGCCAGCAGCCGCCGUAACAC
rnacentral:rRNA from 1 species